rnacentral:tRNA from 1 species
GCUAGGGUGGCAGAGUGAUGUGUCAAAUUUAAGUUUUGGAGAUCGGGCUGGCUCGUAAGCG